CGGCCAGACUCCUACGGGAGGCAGCAGUGGGGAAUAUUGCACAAUGGGGGAAACCCUGAUGCAGCGACGCCGCGUGAGUGAAGAAGCGUUUCGGCGCGUAAAGCUCUGUCAGCGGGGAAGAAACGCGGUUCGCGAGAGCCGCGGACGGUACCCGACCAAGAAGCCCCGGCUAACUACGUGCCAGCAGCCGCGGUAAUACGGAGGAUGCGAGCGUUAUCCGGAUUUAUUGGGUUUAAAGGGUGCGCAGGCGGAGGGGCAAGUCAGCGGUCAAAUUGCGGGGCUCAACCCCGUACUGCCGUUGAAACUGCAUCCCUUGAGUGCGCGAGAAGUAUGCGGAAUGCGUGGUGUAGCGGUGAAAUGCAUAGAUAUCACGCAGAACUCCGAUUGCGAAGGCAGCAUACCGGCGCGCAACUGACGCUCAUGCACGAAAGCGUGGGUAUCGAACAGGAUUAGAUACCCGAGUAC
rnacentral:rRNA from 1 species